rnacentral:rRNA from 1 species
AGAGUUUGAUCCUGGUAGGAUGAACGCUGGCGGCGUGCUUAAUACAUGCAAGUUGAACGGAGACAGUAGCAAUAUUGUCUUAGUGGCGAACGGGUGAGUAACGCGUUGGUGACCUGCCUCGAAGAGAGGGAUAACAGUUCGAAAGGAUUGCUAAUACCUCAUGUGGUUGCUUGGGUUAGAGACCUUGCAACUAAACGGAUUUAUUCGCUUCGAGAGGGGCCUGCGUCCCAUCAGCUAGUUGGUAGGGUAAUGGCCUACCAAGGCGAUGACGGGUAGGGGACCUGAGAGGGUGGCCCCCCACAAUGGAACUGAAACACGGUCCAUACACCUACGGGUGGCAGCAGUAGGGAAUAUUGGUUAAUCUGGGAAACCGGGAACCAGCAACGCCGCGUGCGCGAUGAAGGCCUUCGGGUUGUAAAGCGCUUUUAGAGAGGAUGAGGAAGGACAGUACUCUCUGAAUAAGCCUCGGCUAACUACGUG